GGCUUAGGACCGCGAGGCUAUGUGAGCUCAGCUUGAACUCAUGGAUUGCGGUCGCUGAGGUCGUGUGUGGUCGGCCUCGAGAUGUCGAGGGUCAUGGCCAGCCGUGAUCCUCUGUGACAAGCUCGCAAGCCACGCAAGCUCAGUAGCAAAGCUCAACAAUGGCAGCCACGACCUUAAUCUAGCCUUGAGCUGGUGUGAAAUCGCCGUUUGCCUCAAAUAUGAGGUCAGCGACCGCCUCCAAAGGAACAACGGCCAUGCAUGUGGGUAAGGGGAGAGACAUUGUGGUAGGUCCGUCGGACUGAGCAAGUCUCUCCGACAAAAAAUUACCAUGGAAAGUGAUGGUUUAAUAUGAGAUGGGCUUAAGGCCCGUCCGCCCAUGUUGGGCCUAAAAGCCCAGCCCACAGGAUAAGGGCCCGUUAAUAAGGGAACGUAUAAAAGGGAUGAGAGAGAGAGAGGACGCACCUUUUGGCACAUAACGUACGUAUGUCUUCUCCAACGCUCUCUCUCCCUCCAAAAAAGGAAUAGUAAGCAAACGGCGAUACUGUCUUCCCUUCAAGGUGUCAUCGGAUCGAACACGGACAAAUUCUUUUCCUAUCUUCGGUAUCGGUGUCUAAUCUGUGGCUAACAAGGUACGCUCGAAUCCGUGGUGUGCUUUACGAUCGGUGAUACAUGUUUUUUCCGGGCUUCGUCUUCCGCAUUGCUUUAAGGGUUCUAUUUAGUGUCGAAUCCGGUUUUCAGGAAUCCGUUAUUCCCAAUAUUGGUAUCAGAGCCCUAGUUCACGUUUUCCCGACCUGUUUGAUGUUUUUUGAUUGAUUUUUCGCGAAAAUUUUCGGCCGUACGGAUCGGGGCGAGAAAUCCCGACACCCGAGCGUUGUUCGUCCUUUUUUCUGAGUUUUUGUAAGUCGAAAUCAAUUUUUGAAGGAAUUGGGUGAAAGAGGUUGUCAAAGCGAGUCCGGCGACAUGUCGUGCGCCGCCAGGCGACGCCGCACGCGGCCAGAAGCCGCUGCAUGUGGGCGCGACGCACCCGAAGCAUUAGCAUCGGACAGCAUGUGCGCCACACGUGACGCUGGCGAACUGGCACGUGCGCGCCGGCGGUCAGCAAGCCGGCGCGUGCUGACGUCACCGUGACGUCACAAUAACCACCGGGAUGACGUCAUCGCCGACGACCGUUGGCUGGCCGGCGACUCGACCCGACCACUGACCCGACCUGACCCGCGGAUGCCUGGCACGCGCGCAGCACGUGUCGGCUAACGUCUAUGUGACGUCAGCCCACGCACAUGCGCGGCACGUGCGGUCGAUUCGUCUAACCCGGCCUGAUCGGCCCGAACGGUCCGACCGGUCCGACGACCUGACCAUUGACCGAUGACGUUGACCGUUGACCCGAAAAAAGAAAAAAGAUUUGUUUCUUUUUCAAUUAUGUCCGUAUGGGUUAGAGGUAAUCCAUUUUUUUAUUCUGCAUUUGUUGCAUGAAUCAUGAAAAAUUAUGUAUUUUCCAUUUGGUUUAUUGUGGAUUAUAAGUGAUCCAUUUAUUGGUUUCUGCAUUUGUUGAACGGAUACCUGCAAUCCCGAGAACAGACAAAGGAAGAGCUAGACUGAAAAGGCUGAUGAAAGGUUUAGUUGAUUAUCGGUGGCAUGAUGGUGAUUUAGUAUCACACGUGGUUAGGGUCAAUCAGAUGAUACAGGAAAUCAUCUGGAAUGGUUAUCUUAUGCCGGAUUUUGAGAAGGUGCCGGCUUUGAUGAACACUCUUCCACCUGAAUGGCAAGCAGUGUUAGAUCAGUUAUGGGAGGUCAACGUGGUCCCGGGUUAUAGCAGGCUAAUGGUAGCUUUUGUAAGAGAGUACUAUAGGAUUGAGUUAGCCAAAACUUCAACCCUUAGAUUGAGCAUCACAUGGCGCAGAGUGAAUGCGCCUUGGAGGCGAUAUGAGAGCUCUCCAAAAGUUUUUCCAUGGUUGGCAAAUGUGCCUUCAAAUUUCUCAGAUAUUUUGACUGAUAGAUUAGAAGGGACUUUCCCCAUUUAUUUGUUAGAUUAAUUAUGAGAUGUUUAAUGGGUGUAAAUAUCUCUUUCCAUGUUUGAUAUUUUUCUUUGUAUAUAUUGCUUAGUGUAAUUGAUAGUUGUAUUAUGUGAAAGCAUUGUUAUUCUAUUGGAUGUUAGAUAUUAUUUGCUUUCUGUUAUUGUUGAUUGCUCUGGGUAGUUAGCUGUGGGUAGUUCAUAGAAGUUUUUGUAACUUCAUAAAAUUUAUUUUGCAUAAGACAAUUAUAUUAAUAAUAAUUUUGAGUUAGGAUUUUUGGAGGAUGAUUGGAAACAUAGUGACCUUUUGAUUCUGAAACCUUACUUAAAAUUGUUCAUUGAUAUGAUGUGUCUAUGCAAAGUGGAUGCAUAAAUGAUAGGCAUUAAUUAUUCGUGCAUGUAUAUCUGAUGUGUUCAGAUCGAUGAUUUCAGUAACUAAGAACGUAAUUGCUGAUAUGAACGACAACAAUUGUGAAAUAUUGAAUAAUGAAGAUUCAAUAUGUGCUGGAAAAGCAAGAAGCACUAGAAGCUCUUGACCAUGUUAUGGAAGAUCUUGAGGAUGCUGUGUGCUACCUUGAGCUGGUAGAGGACCGCUUAACGACAUGUGAGCUGAAAAUAGAUAUUUACAAUGCUAGUUCUAGCUCAGAAAGGGCUUUGAGCUCUAAGCGCAAGCGUAUUGAUUCGUUCAAUAUGUGAGAAUGCAAAGGAUCAAAUCCUUAUUGCAAUAAAUCAAGAGUUAACCAACACAAGAGAGGAAAACGUCCUCAAGUGAAGAAAAUGUCAAGGGUGAGGUGUUACAAUUGUGACAAGAAGGGUCACUAUGCUCGCAACUGUUGUGAGCCGAAAAAGGUAAACACCUCUUGUACAUUUGAGAACUUUGCUUAUGUGUCAAAUUCUGCAUUAUUGGCUGAAUCCAAUCCUUAGUGGACUGUAGAUUUAGGAUCGACAGACCAUGUAGCGAAGGAUAGAGAAUCCUUCGUGGAAUUCCGACAAUACCAACUGGAACUAAGUGGAUCUAUGUGGGAUAUAACUCCAGAGAUGAAGUUAAAGGGAUUGGCACCUGUCAAUUGAACAUGCGUGCUGGACGCACCUUGUUCCUACAUGAUGUUCUAUAUGUUCCGGAGAUUCGUCGAAAUUUAGUGUCUGUCUUAGUGUUGGUUAAGCUUGGUUUAUGUGUGAACUUCCAUAAUAGCGAUGUAGAUUUGUAUUUGGAUACAAACUACUAUAGUUGUGGUACUUUCUGGAUGGUUUUAAUUGUACUAAAUGUUGACUGUGGUGAUGUCAAUAUUUGUUAUUCCCUUGUUUCACGUCUUCUACUUCAUAUGAUAAUUAUGUGAUUAUGUGGCAUGCUGGACUUGGUCAUAUUGGCCAACAACGUAUAAAUAGACUAGCCAAAAAGGGCUUGUUGGGCAACAUUGAAAAAGUCAAUUUGCCUAGAUGUGAGCAUUGCCUAGUAGGGAAAACGACAAGGAAACCAUUUGGAAAAGAUAAAGAGCUCAGUUUCCUCUGCAUUUAAUCCAUUAUGAUGUAUGUGGUUCAAUGAAUGUGAGAAGAAGGCAUGGGGCUGUUUAUUUCAUCACUUUUAUAGAUGAUUAUACUCGAUUCGGAUAUGUCUAUUUGAUUUCUCAUAAAUAUGAAGCAUUAAGUUGUUUCAAAAGAUUUAUGAACUUGGAAGAAAAUCAAUUAGACAAGAAAAUAAAAAUAUUUAGAUCCAAUUGAGGUCAAUAAUAUUUAUCUGAUGAGUUCAGAAAAUUAUGUGAUGAAAAAGGAAUAGAAAGACAGUUGUCUGUUCCAUAUACUCCUCAACAAAAUGGUGUUGCAGAGAGAAGAAACAGAACCCUAAUGAAAAUGGUUAGGUCCAUGAUGGCACAUGCUAACUUACCUAUCACUUUUUGGAGUGAUGCGUUGUUAACUGCUGCCUAUAUACUUAACCGGGUGCCUUCCAAAUCAGUUACUUCCACUCCAUAUGAGUUAUGGACAGGUAGAAAAUUGGACUUAAGUUUUCUUAAGUCAUGGGGUUAUGAUGCCUAUACUCAUAUGUCCUCUCACAAGUUUGGGAAAUUGGGUCCUAAAAGAAAGUAGAGUAUUUUAAUGAGAUACUCUGAAUACUCGAAAGGAUAUGUGUUCAUAGGUGAGCAGGAAAGUGGGAGUAUAGCUGAAUUUGAAUCACGGGAUGUCACAUUCUUAGUGGAUGAAUUUCCUAAGAAGGGCAAAACAUGGGAAGAUUACCCCUAUUUGAAACCUUGGAUCAAGAUAAUGAUAUUAGUGGAGUUCGUCCAAGUGGGAGUAAUAUGAGAAGUGAUGAAUUGAAUUCAACUUAUUCUUAAUUACAACCGCGUGAUGAAAUGAUAUCAUCAUUAUCUAAUCCGAAUGGGAGCAUAAUGGGGAAUGAUGUGCUAAGUGUACAAUCUCCCACAUAGCGAACAAGUCGCCAAAGUAUUCCCCAUCGACGUUUUGACAUUGAAAGGGAAACUUUUAUAAUUGCUCCACGAGAUAAGGAUGAGCCAAGAAAUAUUAAUGAGGCUCUGAAAUGCCCUAGUAAGAAAAAAUGGAUUUAUGCAAUGAAAGAGGAGAUGGAGUUAAUGAAGUCAAACCAAGUCUGGGAACUGGUUGAUCUUCCAAUAGGACGCAAAGCUAUUGGGAACAAGUGGGUUCUCAAAAUAAAGCGAAAGGCUGAUGGCUCGAUAGAAAGGCAUAAGGCUCGCCUUGUGGCGAAGAGGUAUAAUCAAUAAGAAGGAAUUGAUUAUGAAGAUACAUUUUCUCCUGUAGUGAGAUUUACCUCGAUUCGCAUUAUUCUAGCAAUAGUGAUUAGUAUGGAUCUUGAGUUACAUCAAAUGGAUGAAAAGACUGCUUUCCUCAAUGGUGAAUUAGAUGAAGAAAUAUAUGGAACAACCUACUGGUUUCAUAGUGAAAUGCCAAGAAGAAAAUGUAUGUCGACUUUGGGGGUCGAUAUAUGGCCUUAAGCAGUCGUCAAGACAAUGGUAUAUACAAUUUCAUAAUGCCAUAAUGGCAUAUGACUUUACAAUGAUAGAUGAUGAUCAUUGUGUAUAUAUCAAAAGAUCCAAGGAUCAAUUUGUGAUUAUAUCAUUAUAUGUUGAUGAUAUACUAAUUGCCGGAAACAAUAUGGAGCUUGUCAAUACUGUCAAAAGUUGGUUGUCUUCUAACUUUGAGAUGAAUGAUAUGGGAUUGUAAACCAAAGACACUUCUAUUGCAAAAGGUGAAGGAUUGAGCCACAAACUGUGUCCAAGGACUCCACAAGAGAAGGAACAAAUGAAAUAUGUUCAUUAUGCUAGUGCUGUUGGGAGCUUGAUGUACACUAUGAUGUGUACAAGACUUGACAUAUGUUUUGCAGUUGGAAUAGUGAGAAGAUACCAAUCCAAUCCAGGUCAAGCACAUUGGAAAGUCGUUAAGUGAAUACUAAGGUAUCUAAAGGGGACUGUUGAUUAUACGUUGAGUUAUUAUGGAAAGGAUCUGCAACUCAAAGGCUAUUCUGAUGGUGAUUGGAGAGGAGAUUUAGAUGAAAGAAAAUCUCCCUCUGGGUUUGUUUUCUUACCGAAUAAUGGCACCAUAUGUUGGAGCAGUAAGAAACAAAAGUGUAUAGCCUUGUCCACGAUUGAAACUGAGUUCGUGACAUUAUCAGCAGCAAUAAAAGAAGAUGUUUGGCUUAAGAGAUUUUUUUGGAUCAUUUAGGUGUUAUUAGAAGUACUGCAGAUUCAUUGUUGGUUAACUGUGAUAGCCAAGCAGCAAAAGUGUACACCAAAUAUCCAAAAUAUCAUGGCAAGACCAAACCUAUAGAUACCAAGUAUAAUUUUGUCAAAGAUAUGAUUGCAUGAAAAGAUGUGAACUUACAGUACAUGUUACGCAUAGAAUGGUAGCAGAUCCUAUGACAAAGCCAAAACCUAGAUAUGUGUUUUGUGGCCAUGUAAAAUCUCUAGGAUUGCGUAGAGUCUGAUGUACUGGAUUGUAAUUUCCCUGAAGUGUUCACAUUUGAUGAAUUUGUGUUUUUCAUCAUUAAUGCCUAUGAAUCUUUGUUUGAUCUUUAUGCAUCUUAAUGCUCAGUGCAUUACUUUAACUUGAGAAAAUAUGUCGGACAGAUAUAAGAUUAGCCCACUCACACGGGUAAUCGCCUCUAUUUACUGUGUGAUAAAUAGAGAUGAGACUGUUUUUAAGCUUAUUAUCUAGGUGAUAAUCGAGAGCUCAAGCUUAAAAUAUGUAUGUCGCCUUAACUGAGUGUUAAGAUGAGGACAUAAUACUUACUAUGUCCGAAAGUAAAAUACCCUACAUAUUUUAUUUUAUCUGUCUAUGAUGCCAGAUGUGAGUUCUGAUGAAUUUUGUGAAUGAGUAUAUACGUGAACUAAAGUUAGACAUUGGGUAUGUCUGAACUAUCAUCUGUAUGGUAUUGAAAGGUGUAGACAUACGCUCCAUGGGAAAUGAGUUAAUACCGUAAUACGUAUUUCAUACUACGUAUGCAUGAGCCGACCAAUAAGAGUGGCAAAAAGCUUGAUCUCAACUUUUAUGACGUGUAAGACUCUUGAGGAAAAGAGUUCCUCAAUUCAUUAGUCCCCUCAUGACUUUUACUUAUUCUCAAGAUUUCUAUUUAGUGUUUGCUAUCUUAGGAUAUUGCCAAUGGUCAUGAGUUGAUUCGAUCUAAUGGGGCAUUUCUAGAAAAGCAAGCUGAACUGAAAUUGAGAGUUUGAAGGAAAGAGGAAUAUCGAAUUUGGAGAAUCACAUUGUAGUUUUUGUAUUCACCGGUUAACCAAUUACGAUUGUCUUUGUGAUAAUCAUAAUUGUGAAUACAAUAUAUAUAUAUAUAUAUAUAUAUAUAUAUAUAUCAUUGUUUGAAAGAGAUCAAGAGAGAUAUAAAUGUGAUCGAUUGAUCUAGGGUACUGCAUAUUAAAUCUACUCGGAGUGUGAUGCCCAUUAUGAGCUGCUAUAUAUUCCUAACAGAUGUAUGGCAACGAGCUCUCAAAGUAUGCUAGUCGCACGGAUUAUUCACCAAUAUGAAUGUUGAAGAGAGGUAAAGAGAAUUCUGUUCAGCUCACCAUGUGCGAGUGGGAGAUGAUGGUUUUAUAUGAGAUGGACUUAAGGCCCGUCCGCCCAUGUUGGGCCUAAAAGCCCGACCCACAGGAUAAGGGCCCAUUGAUAAGGGAACGUAUAAAAUGGAUGAGAGAGAGAGAGAGAGGACGCACCUUUUGGCGCAUAACGUACGUACAUCCUCUCCAACGCUCUCUCUCCCUCCAAAAAAGGAACAGUAAGCAAACGGUGACACUGUCUUCCCUUCAAGGCGUCAUCGGAUCAAACACGGACAAAUUCUCUUCCUAUCUUCGGCAUUGGUGUCUAAUCUGUGGCUAACAAGGUACGCUCGAAUCCGUGGUGUGCUUUACGAUUGGUGAUACUGUUUUUCCCAGGCUUCAUCUUCCGCAUUGCUUUAGGGGUUCGAUUUAGUGUCGAAUCCAAUUUUCGGGGAUCCGUUAUUCCCAACAGAAAGUAAAGUUGAAGAUGAUUUUGGUAAUUUUCCCCUAAAA
rnacentral:lncRNA from 1 species